rnacentral:rRNA from 1 species
CCUACGGGAGGCUGCAGUGAGGAAUAUUGGUCAAUGGGCGAGAGCCUGAACCAGCCAAGUCGCGUGAGGGAGUACUGCCCUAUGGGUUGUAAACCUCUUUUGUCGGGGAGCAAAAGCCGGACGUGUCCGGCUGUGAGAGUACCCGAAGAAAAAGCAUCGGCUAACUCCGUGCCAGCAGCCGCGGUAAUACGUAUGGUGCGAGCGUUAAUCGGAAUUACUAGUCGUAAAGGUUGUGCAGGUGGUUUUGCAAGCUGGAUGUGAAAGCACCGGGCUUAACCUGGGAAAGCCAUAAAUGACUGCAAGACUAGAGUGCGUCAGAGGGUGGUGGAAUUCCAAGUGUAGCAGUGAAAUGCGUAGAUAUUUGGAAGAACACCGAUGGCGAAGGCAGCCCCCUGGGACGCAACUGACGCUCAUACACGAAAGCGUGGGGAGCAAACAGGAUUAGAUACCCCAGUAGUC